UACGUAGGGAGCAAGCGUUGUUCGGAAUUACUGGGCGUAAAGGGCUCGUAGGUGGCCAACUAAGUCAGACGUGAAAUCCCCAGGCUCAACUUGGGAACUGCGUCUGAUACUGGAUGGCUUGAAUUCGGGAGAGGGAUGCAGAAUUCCAGGUGUAGCGGUGAAAUGCGUAGAUAUCUGGAGGAACACCGGUGGCGAAGGCGGCAUCCUGGACCGGCAUUGACGCUGAGGCGCGAAAGCCAGGGGAGCAAACGGG
rnacentral:rRNA from 1 species